rnacentral:rRNA from 1 species
UGGGGAAUAUUGCACAAUGGGCGCAAGCCUGAUGCAGCCAUGCCGCGUGUGUGGAGAAGGCCUUCGGGUUGUAAAGCACUUUCAGCGGGGAGGAAGGCGGUGAGGUUAAUAACCUCACCGAUUGACGUUACCCGCAGAAGAAGCACCGGCUAACUCCGUGCCAGCAGCCGCGGUAAUACGGAGGGUGCAAGCGUUAAUCGGAAUUACUGGGCGUAAAGCGCACGCAGGCGGUCUGUCAAGUCGGAUGUGAAAUCCCCGGGCUCAACCUGGGAACUGCAUUCGAAACUGGCAGGCUAGAGUCUUGUAGAGGGGGGUAGAAUUCCAGGUGUAGCGGUGAAAUGCGUAGAGAUCUGGAGGAAUACCGGUGGCGAAGGCGGCCCCCUGGACAAAGACUGACGCUCAGGUGCGAAAGCGUGGGGAGCAAACAGG